CCUACGGGUGGCAGCAGUGAGGAAUAUUGGUCAAUGGCCGGAAGGCUGAACCAGCCAUGCCGCGUGAGGUCAGUGCCAUAUGGGCGUUAAACUUCUUUUGUGCGGGGGCAAUAAUGGUCACGUGUGGCUAGAUGAGAGGACCGUACGAAUAAGCAUCGGCUAACUUAGUGCCAGUAGCCGCGGUAAAACGGGGGAUGCAAGCGUUAUCCGGAUUUAUUGGGUUUCAAGGGUGCGGAGGCUGUGAAGUAAGUCAGCGGUGAAAUGCCCCCGCUCAACGGGGUGAAGUGCCAUUGAUAAGGCCUGGCUGGAUUGCGGAUGCCGUGGUGGGAAUGUGUGGUGUAGCGGUGAAAGGC
rnacentral:rRNA from 1 species